ensembl:snRNA U6 U6 spliceosomal RNA
CUUGUUAGUGCUCACUUGAUAUACUAAAAUUGGAACGAUACAGAGAAGAUUAGUAUAGCCCCUGUGGAAGGAUGACAGGCAAAUUCGUGAAGCAUUCCAUAUUUUA